GCACUUUAAAGUUUCUUAUACAAGAGAAUCCAUUAAAACUCUAAGAUGCAGUGGCUGCUGGACAAUUUAUUGUAAAAGUAAAGCGACAGUCUGGUUCUGGUGUGAAACAGAGGCAGUAUAAUGACAAUCUAUUAAAACUGAAGAGAUAAUAACUGAAGUUUACAGAAUGAGGGUUUCUUUAUGGUCAAGAUUACUUGAAACUGAUUAUUUACAUGCGCAAUGGCAACUAUUUGCAUUAUAUUUCAUCAAUUGUAAUGUAUAAGGUCAAAACAGUCCUAGAGAAACGUGCAAGCAUUGGAAUAUGAAACCAUCUGUAUGCAAAGAAUAUACAUAGGAUUGUAAAAAAUGAUGGAGGUGAGAAGAGGAGGAUCCAAAAGAGAUCUCAAGGAAUCAACUUAAAAUUCCAAUGACGACGCCGAGCGUCCCCACUUCACGACGCCCUUAUGUCCCUUUAAUCGGAUGCCGCGUAAUAAUCGUUAUUACGUUACGCAUCGUCGCCGAAAUAAUUGCUAUGCCUUCAGUAAAAUUGACGUACGAGCCAUUUGCACUCGUCUUCCUUAAGGUCGGUGAGCAUUUACUUUUUAUCUUGGACUCAUUUAA